GCCAGGCAUGGUGGCGGGUGCCUGUAAUCCCAGCUACUUGGGAGGCUGAGGCAGGAGAAUCGCUUGAACCUGGGAGGUGGAGGUUGCAGUGAGCCGAGAUCACACUGCCACUCCAGCUUGGGUGACAGAGCGAGACUCUGUCUCAA
rfam:Homo sapiens chromosome 8, GRCh38 reference primary assembly.